AGAUCCUUGGACUUCCAUUCACAGCUGCGACUGAACAAUUGUUGGGAAUUCGGCUGCCGACUACCACUUGACUGCUCGGUCCUCUGCAGACAGUCCCAGGAGACACACAACCUGCUCCAAACACACUAGUUAAAGACCCAGAAGACCUCUGCCACACUAUCAAGGGUUCCUCUGUGUAGCCCUGGCUGUCCUGGCACUCACUUUGUAGAGCUGGCUGGCCUCGAACUCAGAAAUCACCUGCCACUGCCUCCCAAGUGCUGGGAUUAAAGGCGUGCACCACCACCGCCCAGCAAGAUGCAUGAAUCUUAACCAGGGAGAAGAGUGGUAAAGCUAAGAAGUGGAGACCUGUCAUGAUAAAGAAAGUGAUUUCCUUCAAAUCA
rnacentral:lncRNA from 1 species